ACCAAGAAACAUGGCGGCUAGCAAGUUGCCUGGUUUGAGGAAACUUGCUCACACUACCACACUUUUAUCUUCUACCUGAAAUGAAACGGAGACUGUAAACCACCUACCAUUAUCAGGAGGAAGCCCAGCUCCUCUGGUCCAGAUUCUAUGGCUGAAACAGGAGGGGAAGGUUAGAGGUCAUUUCAUUCCAACACAAGAAAUGAGGGGUGUCUCAGCCACAAACCUAGAAGGCAAGAUGGAAAAGUCUUUUUCCUUGCUACACUAUUAUGGUAUUCAUUCUGGCUAUUUACCAAAGAUUUCUGUUACUCCUCUGGGAUACUGCUAAGAUGAGUGGGGAUACUUGAUCAAGACAUGAAGCCAAACCCUUACAUCUGGUUACAUAUGUACCUCAGCCUAUCUUUGAAAUCCUACCAGAACCCUCUAAGGCAGACUAUAACAAUACAGCCAAAUUAUGUAGUCAGUACAGGUCAGCCAUUUGAAUAGAGAAGGAGUGCAUAAAAAUGAAGAAUGUGUAAAGAAAAGGAAAUGAAGUGAGCAAGAAAAAAAUUACAACAUACAUUAUUAUGCAAGUUAUAUAUUAAAGAAAAAACACACGCAGAUUACACUGAUACUUUAGGUCACUUUGUGUUCACUUAUCAGAAUUCCAUAUUAACUAAAUACUCCAUACAGAAAGUUACAUUGCAUAAAUAGAAAAAUAGUUUUUGUCUAUAUUUUUAAAUCAUAUUUUGUGAUAA